CUGUGUGUUGUUGGGUAGGGGAGCGUUCUGUAAGCCUGCGAAGGUGUGCUGUGAGGCAUGCUGGAGGUAUCAGAAGUGCGAAUGCUGACAUAAGUAACGAUAAAGCGGGUGAAAAGCCCGCUCGCCGGAAGACCAAGGGUUCCUGUCCAACGUUAAUCGGGGCAGGGUGAGUCGACCCCUAAGGCGAGGCCGAAAGGCGUAGUCGAUGGGAAACAGGUUAAUAUUCCUGUACUUGGUGUUACUGCGAAGGGGGGACGGAGAAGGCUAUGUUGGCCGGGCGACGGUUGUCCCGGUUUAAGCGUGUAGGCUGGUUUUCCAGGCAAAUCCGGAAAACCAAGGCUGAGGCGUGAUGACGAGGCACUACGGUGCUGAAGCGACAAAUGCCCUGCUUCCAGGAAAAGCCUCUAAGCAUCAGGUAACAUCAAAUCGUACCCCAAACCGACACAGGUGGUCAGGUAGAGAAUACCAAGGCGCUUGAGAGAACUCGGGUGAAGGAACUAGGCAAAAUGGUGCCGUAACUUCGGGAGAAGGCACGCUGAUAUGUAGGUGAAGCGACUUGCUCGUGGAGCUGAAAUCAGUCGAAGAUACCAGCUGGCUGCAACUGUUUAUUAAAAACACAGCACUGUGCAAACACGAAAGUGGACGUAUACGGUGUGACGCCUGCCCGGUGCCGGAAGGUUAAUUGAUGGGGUUAGCGGCAACGCGAAGCUCUUGAUCGAAGCCCCGGUAAACGGCGGCCGUAACUAUAACGGUCCUAAGGUAGCGAAAUUCCUUGUCGGGUAAGUUCCGACCUGCACGAAUGGCGUAAUGAUGGCCAGGCUGUCUCCACCCGAGACUCAGUGAAAUUGAACUCGCUGUGAAGAUGCAGUGUACCCGCGGCAAGACGGAAAGACCCCGUGAACCUUUACUAUAGCUUGACACUGAACAUUGAGCCUUGAUGUGUAGGAUAGGUGGGAGGCUUUGAAGUGUGGACGCCAGUCUGCAUGGAGCCGACCUUGAAAUACCACCCUUUAAUGUUUGAUGUUCUAACGUUGGCCCCUAAUCGGGGUUGCGGACAGUGUCUGGUGGGUAGUUUGACUGGGGCGGUCUCCUCCUAAAGAGUAACGGAGGAGCACGAAGGUUGGCUAAUCCUGGUCGGACAUCAGGAGGUUAGUGCAAUGGCAUAAGCCAGCUUGACUGCGAGCGUGACGGCGCGAGCAGGUGCGAAAGCAGGUCAUAGUGAUCCGGUGGUUCUGAAUGGAAGGGCCAUCGCUCAACGGAUAAAAGGUACUCCGGGGAUAACAGGCUGAUACCGCCCAAGAGUUCAUAUCGACGGCGGUGUUUGGCACCUCGAUGUCGGCUCAUCACAUCCUGGGGCUGAAGUAGGUCCCAAGGGUAUGGCUGUUCGCCAUUUAAAGUGGUACGCGAGCUGGGUUUAGAACGUCGUGAGACAGUUCGGUCCCUAUCUGCCGUGGGCGCUGGAGAACUGAGGGGGGCUGCUCCUAGUACGAGAGGACCGGAGUGGACGCAUCACUGGUGUUCGGGUUGUCAUGCCAAUGGCACUGCCCGGUAGCUAAAUGCGGAAGAGAUAAGUGCUGAAAGCAUCUAAGCACGAAACUUGCCCCGAGAUGAGUUCUCCCUGAGACUUAGAGUCUCCUGAAGGAACGUUGAAGACGACGACGUUGAUAGGCCGGGUGUGUAAGCGCAGCGAUGCGUUGAGCU
rnacentral:rRNA from 1 species